ACGCUCGACACCUACGGAAGGCAGCAGUGAGGAAUAUUGGUCAAUGGGCGCAGGCCUGAACCAGCCAAGUAGCGUGAAGGAUGACUGCCCUAUGGGUUGUAAACUUCUUUUAUAUGGGAAUAAAGUUUUCCACGUGUGGAAUUUUGUAUGUACCAUAUGAAUAAGGAUCGACUAACUCCGUGCCCGCAGCCGCGGUAAUCUGAGCGGGCUGGCAAGGC
rnacentral:rRNA from 1 species